CUUCAACUAAUAGGGCAACACUGAAUUAAUUACAGAUAUUGUAUUGUUGGGGAGGUCAGGGCCACGACACGCCUUCUUGUGUUUCCGCCUUUAUUUCCAUUCAUUCUGUUUUAUGAGUGAUUCAUGUGUUAGGAUUGCCCUCUAUGACAGUGUAGAAAUAACAUGUUAGAUAACCAAGUUCAUAUACAUACGAAUAAAAUCAGAUACUUAAGACGUAUGUUAUUUUUUACCGCAGUAAAAUUUACAUGUAUGAACAAUUAGAAAUUAAUCACAAUAUAAUUAGCAUAUUGCAUGUAAUAAACAACAAAGGCGCCACAGUUUGGGUCAACAUUAACACGAUGAGUCAAACCAAAGUGCGGAGGAGAGAGAAGUAAAUGAAACGGCGGCAAGCGGUGGUGGGGUCGAGUGGUGAAUAAAGGGUUUAGGAGCACGUGGGGCAUGAACGAUGGCAGUGAAGUUAAAAUUAGACGACUUCUUCUUCGAGUGAGUGAGUGGUGUUGUAGGGCCCAACGUCGUGUCUCUACCUGACAACGCUGACACUAUCAUUACCUAAGCCUGAAAGUUGAAAAGCCAAAGCCUCCCGCCUCGUAAUCGUAGCCCACCACCCCAUAGACUACACUGAAAAUUUUUUCACGCUCAGACUCUAUCUCACCGUUUUUUUAAUUUAUAAUAUUAUCUUUUAACUUUUACUUUUUCAUCACCCGCCAUCACUUGUCAUUUCAAAUUAAACCGAAAUGAAAAUUGUUUGGAUAUUUAUUUUUGGGCUCGGGCUGGG
rnacentral:lncRNA from 1 species